UACGUAGGGACCGAGCGUUGUCCGGAAUCAUUGGGCGUAAAGAGCGUGUAGGCGGCUAUUUAAGUCCUGCGUGAAAUCCUGCGGCUCAACCGCAGACGGUCGUGGGAAACUGGAUGGCUAGAGUGCGGGAGAGGAGAGUGGAAUUCCCGGUGUAGCGGUGAAAUGCGCAGAUAUCGGGAAGAACACCCGUGGCCGAAGGCGGCUCUCUGGAACGCAACUGACGCUGAGACGCGGAAAGCGUGGGAGCAACAGGG
rnacentral:rRNA from 1 species